UGGCGAACGGGUGAGUAAUAUAUCGGAACGUGCCCAUUAGUGGGGGAUAGCCCGGCGAAAGCCGGAUUAAUACCGCAUACGACCUGAGGGUGAAAGCGGGGGAUCGCAAGACCUCGCGCUAUUGGAGCGGCCGAUAUCAGAUUAGCUAGUUGGUGGGGUAAAGGCCUACCAAGGCAACGAUCUGUAGUUGGUCUGAGAGGACGACCAGCCACACUGGGACUGAGACACGGCCCAG
rnacentral:rRNA from 1 species